GGGCCCUUAGCUCAUUUGGUAGAGCGCUUCCAUGGCAUGGAAGAGGCAACCGGUUCAAAUCCGGUAGGGUCCACCA
rnacentral:tRNA from 1 species